rnacentral:lncRNA from 1 species
AGAAAAUUUACCUCGAUUGGCGGUCGAAAAAUUCUCCGGUGCGGCGGCGGGUGGCGGCGGCCGGCUCCUCCGGCGUCUGGUUCUUCUUCUCCGGCGAGGCACUGGCGGCUAGGGUUUUGUGGUCAGGUGUGGGUGGGGUUAUUUAUACCCUUUGCCUUUUAAUCUCAACCCGUCCAUCAAGAUUAUAUCUGGACCGUCCGAUCGCGAUUUAAUUGGGAUUAAAUCUGGGUCGUCCAUCGCGAUGGGAUCUGGGCCGUCUGUGCCUGAUUGAAUCUGGGUCGUCCGUAUGCAUGAAAUCUGGGCUGUCCGUGCGCGGGAACGGAUCUGGACCAUCCGAUCGCGCGCACGCGGAUCGCCCACGUGGCCCGUCCCGUGUCAGCAUUUCCUUGCCACGCGGCGUGUCCUGGUUGGCCGGGGCUUCUGACCGGGCUGCUGACAUGGCUGCUGAUGUGGCACAACUUUUUU